CACACACUAGAAGAAAGAAAGAAAGAACCGGCGGAGAAGAAGAAAAAGGGAAAGAAAAGAGGGAAGAAAAAAAGGGAAAGAAAAAAAGGAAGAAGAGAAAGAAAGGAAAGAGGUAGUUCAAGGUUCAUUUCCAUUUUUCCUCUCUUUUUAUUUUCUUCAAGAGGUAGAUAUAUUUUAUGUUAAAUUCUAGGGUUUUAUUGUGGCUCGAAAAUUUUCUGAUUUUUGAGAGGAAUAUUACUUAGAGCUCAAGUUAUUGAUUCUUGAAUUUCUAUCUACACUAAGGUAAGAAGAUAUUAAUUUUAUUUGGGCAAACCCUAGUUUUUUUAAAUUUAAUGAUUGAGCAUGGAUUAUUUGUGGAAAUGAUUACAUUAAUGAAAUUAUUCACUUGGAUGAAUGAUUUUGGGGAAUGAUAGCUAUAUUAAUUUUGUUGUAUUAUGAUUUCUCGUUUUUCACUAAAAUGAAAGGGACAAAUAUUGUUAUGAUUGUAAUGAAGUUAAAUUUGGAUGUGGUACAUGAUUGUGAAGGUAUUAGAAAGUGGAAAUUAGCUUCGAUUGAUUAAAGGAAAUUUAGGAAAAUUUCGCAAGUUUUGGGGAAUUUAGUUUAAUUAUUAUAUCAUUAGAGAUUAAAUAUUUCUUUAUUUUAAUAGUGAUUAAAUUAGUUAUUUGUAACGUAUUACAGGUGGUGACGAAGAAUUGGAAAAGCUUACCGACUAGCUUAGUCUGUAGCUCGUAUUUAGUGAAUGGAUUAAAACUUAUUUUUCAAAAAUAAGUCUUCUUUAAAUUUUAAAGUUAUUUAUUUUAUAAAGUUGACUUCAUAGCAUGAUUUUCAGAAUAAAAUGGAUUUUAUUAUUAAUUGCUUUUAAAGUUAAAUUCAGUUCAAUUAAAUUAUUUUAGUAGCAUGGUAUAUUCUUAUUACAUGUUUCAGUAUAGCUAAAGUUAUUUCUAAAAACCACCAGAAAGUACCCAUGUGAUUUUACCCCAAUUUGCACUGAUGUGAAUGUGUUUCCACAGUAUAUGACUAAUUAUAGUGAUUUUACCUGUUCUGCACUAUCGUGAAUGUGUUUCCAUAGUGUAUGACCAGAUUAUCAGAGGUCUUUGGGACCCACUCUCGUACACACAUAGGCUUUAUGCCGUGUACUAGGGUGAUUAGCCUUUGGGACAACUCUGUGUACGUAUGACCAGAUUAUCAGCUAUCAGAUUUGAAUGGCUUUACCUUGUACAUCGAAAUUACUCUGUACAUGAGUAAGGCUAUUCAUUUGGUACUCUUUUUGGGGUGAUUUUUCAGUAUUUAUUCAAUUCUCAAAUUUCAGAUUAUGAAAUUCAGUUAAUUUAGUUUUCAGAAUAAAGCUUUCAGCUUAUAGUAUUGACCAGUAGCAAUAUUUCAUAGAUUUUCAUGAAUAUCCGAUUAUUCGUUAACUUUACAUCUACUUAUCUAGAAUUACAUAAUUGAAUAGCUUUGUCAUGUCUAUCGGUGUAAACCGAUAAAUGAGUAUAGUUAUUUCGGGUACCCUUUUGGUGUGACUUUUCAGUGUUGUACAGCUUAUCAGAUUUCAGAAUGCAGAAUUUAGCUUUUCAGUUUAAAGAAUAAAGAUUUAGCUAAAAGUACUGUGAAUGAUAUUUUUAUCAUAAACCAGUUUUUAGAAUGUUAGCAUAAAUGGAAAAAGUAUUUUUAUUUACAAAAUUAUCUACUCACUGAGUUAUAGGCUCACAUUUUUUUUACAAUUUCUCUUAUUAGAUAGUAGUUGAGUGGAGCACUAUUGGGCCAGUUGAUCUAUCGAGUUAAAUUAUAAAUUGUCAAGCAUUGUAUGACUCAUCUUAUCAGUUUAAUAGCUCAUAUUUUGGAAUAGACACAUCUUUUGGUCAGAAAUUAGUUCCAUGUUUUGGGCUGCUAUGUUUUGUAUAUAUUAUGCAUUUUGGGUACUGUGGUUUAUAAAUUGUUGCAAAGGUCAAAUUGUCAGUGUUGUAUUUGAAUAGUUGAUCUUCUGUGAGCCAGUGUACCCUAUUUUAAACUAUAUGUAUCUGUUUGGGAUAUUGGAUUAUAUAUUUCAGAUGGUUUUAGUCUAUAAUUCACGGGGAACUCUGUCAAAAUUUUUACAAAGCAUAUCAUAGUAAAUACAAGUCAAUGUUGCCUUGAUGGUGGGUCCGGCACUUAACUGGUAUCUACCAUCGGCGCACGACACGUGUCGGGUCUAUUAGGAUGAUUCGGGACGGGUCGUGUCAGAAAUUGCUCGAGAGAUUUAGUCUAAGAGAAAACAUGUGGAUAAAAUCCUUGUACGAAGACCGCAAGCUCUGGGUGCCUACGUUUAUGAAAGGCAUGUCCUUUGCUGGUUUGUAUGCAGCUUCAAGAUCAGAAAUUCUGAACUCUUUCUUUGACAAAUAUAUGCAUGGGGAAACUUCUCUAAGGGAUUUUAUAGGACAAAUACAAAUCAAUUCUUGAAGACAGGUUCGAAGAGGAGGCCAAAGCAAAUUUUGAUGCAUGGCAUGAAACACCCGAGCUGAAGUCCCCUUCUCCUUUUGAGAAACAAAUGUUACUUGUAUAUACUCAUGAAAUAUUCAAAAAGUUUCAAAUUGAGGUACUGGGAGCAGCUGCAUGCCAUCUGAAAAAAGAAAAAGAAGACGGGCCAACUUUAAUUCAUGGGGUUAAAGACUUUGAAGAUAAUCAGGAUUUUAUAGUGGAAUGGAAUGAACGAAAAUCAGAUAUAUACUGUUCUUGUCGUUCAUUUGAAUAUAAAAGUUAUCUUUGUAGACAUGCCAUUGUGGUUCUCCAAAUGUUUGGCAAAUUCAGUAUACCAUUUAAGUACAUAAUGCAACAGUGGACUAAUGCUGCCACUAGUAGGCAUCCCAUAAGUGAAAAACCGGACGAGGUACAAUCUGAUGUCCGUCUUUACAAUGACCUUUGCCAACGAGCUAUAAUAUUAGGUGAAGAAGGGUCAUUGUCUUAGAAUAGUUACGGCAUUGCUGUUGCUGCCAUUAAAGAAGCUCUGCUACAAUUUGAGAACGUGAGUAACUCUUCUGAAAAUAAUUUGAGAUCGAAAAUAUCGGCAACUCUUUCCAUUCAAGGUGUUGUGGGAGUAAACCAAGGUAGCACUAUCACCAGUGGAGAGCAAAUUCCUAAUGAUGAUGUGAUCCAGACAAACAAGGGGGCCAAGAGAAUAGAUUCCGGAAAGGAACGGGUCGGUAAUGAUGGAAAUGCAAACAAGGAAGGAAAGGUUGGUUUCUUUGUUUAUUUACUUGCUCUUUUGUUUUAAAGAAAAAUUUGUUGAAUGCCAUCAUAUGUACAGCAGGUCCCUAUGGAUACACAAAUUGCAAAUGUAGGGUCCCAAGGCGUCUUUCAGCAAAUGGUUUGUCUCUUCUAAUCUUAGUCAUACUUUUAAGUUAAACUUUAAAGGGAUUUAUAGUUUUAAUUAACAGGACAUUCAUAGGAUUACUUGCAUAUACAAUCACCUCUUCUUUUUUUUUACCUGAAAAAUUAAAGCUUCUAUUAUUAUUAUUUUUUUCCAGAGUUAUUGAUUAACUUAAACCCCUCAAAAUCUUCUGACUCUAGCUUGAGUAGUGUUGGAUUUCCUUAUGGAUCCAACUGUGCCUAUUUCUGCCUGGAUCACAUUAUUAUUAUGCAUUUGUUCUCCUAUAAACAUAAAUUUCUUACACCUUCUACCUUCAAUUAGCCUCUUGCUAGGAGAACAUAAAUUUCAUAAAGUAUGCAAUUAAUCUAUGUUCAGUGUAGAUGCGUUUAUAUACUAACAGUGUUAUAGACGGAAAUGGGAAAAACAUAAAUUUCCCAUCAAUAUGUCUUUGUGUGGGCGCUAUAGAUGCAUAUACACGCAUGUGUUCAAGUAGAUUUCUUGCUUGUGUCGUGCAUGAAGUUAAAUGGAAAAAUUGUACCAUUGGUCCCUAAACUUAUUUUCCAGAAGCAAGUUGGUUCCACCUUCCAUUCUCAUUGCACAAUUAGUCCCCCAUGACAAACCUUCCAAAUAUCGGUUAAAUAGUUAUGUUAUCCUCUCCAAAUUUGUGAAGUUUCAUUUGCUUCUUCACUUUGAAAUUCAAAAAUUUUAGGCAAGACAUGUUUCCAUAAGAGCACGUUACAAUAGAUUGGGGACUACUGGAUGGACAUAUUUACCUCAAUGAGUAAGCUAUGUAUUAUGUACUACGAAUCAAGUUUUAACUUUCAUUUGUGUAGGAUAUGUCUGGUAGCCUGGAUUAUCCUACGUUGUACCCAAGGUUUCUUACAACAUUGUUAAGGUGUGGUGACAUCUCCAAGAGAAGUGUGGAAAUGCUUGACGAGAUGUUGGAGGAACAAAGAUGAAGGUGCCCUUAUUGAUCGAUCUUGGACAGGUAUUCUUGUUAUUUGUUUGAUUAUAUUUAAAUAUAAAUAUCAGUUUAACUGGCUUUCCCUGCUUCAUGAGAAAUUCAGCAUUUAAUGCUGUCUUCUUGCUUCAUGCAUUGAAGCCAACAUUAUUUUACUUUAAUGUCUUGUGCUAUGAUCACCAAAUAGUAGCUGAUUGGGGAUGCAUUCCGAGAUCUAGCUGAAAUGUUGACUUCUUA
rnacentral:lncRNA from 1 species